rnacentral:rRNA from 1 species
UAUUGGGCGUAAAGCGCGCGGCAGGUGGUUUCUUAAGUCUGAUGUGAAAGCCCACGGUUCAACCGUGGAGGGUCAUUGGAAACUGGGAGACUUGAGUGCAGAAGAGGAAAGUGGAAUUCCAUGUGUAGCGGUGAAAUGCGUAGAGAUAUGGAGGAACACCAGUGGCGAAGGCGACUUUCUGGUCUGUAACUGACACUGAGGCGCGAAAGCGUGGGGAGCAAACAGGAUUAGAUACCCUGGUAGUCCACGCCGUAAACGAUGAGUGCUAAGUGUUAGAGGGUUUCCGCCCUUUAGUGCUGAAGUUAACGCAUUAAGCACUCCGCCUGGGGAGUACGGCCGCAAGGCUGAAACUCAAAGGAAUUGACGGGGGCCCGCACAAGCGGGGGAGCAUGUGGUUUAAUUCGAAGCAACGCGAAGAACCUUACCAGGUCUUGACAUCCCUCUGAAACCCUAGAGAUAGGGUUUCCUCCUUUCGGGAGCAGAGUGACAGGUGUGCAUGGUUGUCGUCCGCUCGUGUCGUGAGAUGUUGGGUUAAGUCCCCGCACGAGCGCAACCCUUGAUCUUAGUUGCAUCAUUUAGUUGGGCAUCUAGGUGACUGCCGGUGAAAACGGGGGGGAGGUGGGGAUGACGUCAAACUUCUGCCUUAUGACCUGGCCUACACACGUGCUAAAUGGACGGUACAAAGAGCUGCAAGACGCGAGUGAACUAUCUAUAAACCGUUCUAGUUCGGAUUGAGGUGACACUGCCUACAUGAGUGGAAUCGUUGUAAUCGCGAUCACAUGCGCGUGAAUACGUUCCGGGCUUGUA